CCUACGGGAGGCAGCAGUGGGGAAUAUUGGACAAUGGGCGCAAGCCUGAUCCAGCCAUACCGCGUGGGUGAAGAAGGCCUUCGGGUUGUAAAGCCCUUUUGUUGGGAAAGAAAUCCUAUCGAUUAAUACUCGGUGGGGAUGACGGUACCCAAAGAAUAAGCACCGGCUAACUUCGUG
rnacentral:rRNA from 1 species